GGCUGAAUUCAAACCAGUCUAUCGAGCUGAAAGAAAACGCAGCUGAGGAGAUAUGAGACUGCAGACAAGAGCCAUCGACCAUCGUUCCAGGAAACUUCCACCUAAACAGAUGCUGAGGCCCAGAUUUCCCUGCCAACCACUCCAAGGCUCAUCAUGCUCGGAGAGUCCAUUCUGGGGGCAAAAAAUGGAUGCUUUCCAUCGAGGGCAGAGUUCUCCUCCAAUUGAGUGACCGUUGUGAUUUCACUUCUGCUCUAGCCAUGUAUGAUGCAGCCACUACAUUGGAAUUUAUCCAGAGGGUAGAGUCCAGCCCAGGAAGUCAACUAGUUCAGGUCCAGUUUUAAAAGAAUAAUAGUUCUGAAAAAAAAACGUCUUGGAGAAAAACAAUAUUCAGGUUUGAAAUCCUGCUGUAAAUGUAAAUCAUUUAAUUUUUAUGCAUUUGUAAUUUACCAGAAACAUUUUAAUACAUAUUGAUUGUUUUGUGUGUUCAGAAAAGUGUUUUUGUAUGAAGUGUUGAAAUUAAAUGAA